GCUCGGUUACAUACUGUGACCUCCUGGCUCGGGCGCAGGAGCGCUCGGCGAGUCACCGUGCCGACCUGCGACGCAUGUGGAGUCAGUAUGCUCAGGACCUGUAUGUCCUCAACCAGAAGAAGCUGGACGAACGCAACAAGCUGGUCAGGAAGCAGAAGAAGAUCCUUUCCCAGAGGACAGCAGUGCGCAAACUGUGCCAGCUACUGCUGCCAGACAAGAGUAAUGAAGAGGACAUCAGGUCUCAUGCUCAGGUUACACAUGCCUUUGAGACUGCUGUGGCAUGUUUGGACUGACCUUCCCUCUAACCCCUGACCACUGACCCUGACCAGGAACCCCAAACCCCUCUUGUUCAUACCCACAAACAUGUAUAGGCCUACAUCAACACCCGACUUGGCUUUUUUCAUUAUUAUUGGCAUAGGCUGUAAUACGUGAAAGCGGUCACUGGGUGGCAGUGUUCCCGUGGCCGUCAGAUCUAAAACAACAUCUCAGGGUUUAAAGACGGAUAGCCAGAUUUGUCACGAUAAUAUACUGCAUCUACUGAGAAAGGGAGAGAGAGAGAGGGAGACAGAGAGACAGAGAGAAAACAACAUGCAUUCCCUGGAUAUUACAUGUACACGUAUUUAUCUCCGAAAUGUAUCACAGUACAGAACAGAGAGAGCGAGAGAAAGAAAGAGAGAGAAAGAAAGACAGAAAGACAGGUUCCAUCCAAAACAAAGUUGGGGCCGAGUGCAGGCCAUGUAAGGAGAUUUCCAGGCCUGUUCAGGCUGUGUACUUUUGGCUUUAGCAGGUUCUGAAGUUCAUGGUUCAACAAGAUUUGUCAGCUAUGAAUCCAUUCCUAGUCUUAAUAUUAGAGACUAUGCUGAUCCACAACUCAAUCCCUACUCACCGCACACAGGAACGACAAUCUG